rnacentral:rRNA from 1 species
GAUGAACGCUGGCGGCGUGCCUAAUACAUGCAAGUCGAGCGAACGGACGAGAAGCUUGCUUCUCUGAUGUUAGCGGCGGACGGGUGAGUAACACGUGGAUAACCUACCUAUAAGACUGGGAUAACUUCGGGAAACCGGAGCUAAUACCGGAUAAUAUUUUGAAACGCAUGGUUCAAAAGUGAAAGACGGUCUUGCUGUCACUUAUAUAUGGAUCCGCGCUGCAUUAGCUAGUUGGUAAGGUAACGGCUUACCAAGGCAACGAUGCAUAGCCGACCUGAACGGGUGAUCGGCCACACUGGAACUGAGACACGGUCCAGACUCCGACGGGAGGCAGCAGUAGGGAAUCUUCCGCAAUGGGCGAAAGCCUGACGGAGCAACGCCGCGUGAGUGAUGAAGGUCUUCGGAUCGUAAAACGCUGUUAGUAGGGAAGAACAUAUGUGUAAGUAACUGUGCACAUCUUGACGGUACCUAAUCAGAAAGCCACGGCUAACUACGUG